GCGUUCGUAGCUCAGUUGGUUAGAGCNNGUCGUUGGUUCGAGUCCAAUUAAACGCACCA
rnacentral:tRNA from 1 species